UUUAACUGAAGAGUUUGAUCAUGGCUCAGAUUGAACGCUGGCGGCAGGCUUAACACAUGCAAGUCGAGCGGGGGAAGGUAGCUUGCUACCGGACCUAGCGGCGGACGGGUGAGUAAUGCUUAGGAAUCUGCCUAUUAGUGGGGGACAACA
rnacentral:rRNA from 1 species